ensembl:rRNA 5S_rRNA 5S ribosomal RNA
GUCUACGGCCAUCCCACCCUGAAUGCACCCGAGCUCGUCUGAUCUCAGAAGCUAAGCAGGGUCGGGCCUGGUUAGUACUUGGAUGGGAGAAGCCAAAAGGUUGGAUACCUUAGCUGUAAAGA